rnacentral:rRNA from 1 species
UACAGAGGGUGCAAGCGUUAAUCGGAAUUACUGGGCGUAAAGCGAGCGUAGUCGGUUAUUUAAGUCGGAUGUGAAAUCCCCGGGCUCAACCUGGGAAUUGCAUUCGAUACUGGAUAGCUAGAGUUCGGCAGAGGGAAGCGGAAUUUCUGGUGUAGCGGUGAAAUGCGUAGAUAUCAGAAGGAACAUCAGUGGCGAAAGCGGCUUCCUGGACCAGAACUGACGAUCAGGAUCGAAAGCGUGGGGAGCAAACAGG